rnacentral:rRNA from 1 species
GGCGAACGCUGGCGGCGUGCUUAACACAUGCAAGUCGAACGGAAAGGCCUGCUUUCCCUUGUGGAUUGCGGGUACUCGAGUGGCGAACGGGUGAGUAACACGUGAGUGAUCUGCCCCCAACUUGGGUAUAAGCCUGGGAAACUGGGUCUAAUUCCCGAUAGGACUGCAGGGUGGUGCCUGUGGUGGAAAACGAUUUUCUAGUGGUUGGGGAUGAGCUCGCGGCCUAUCAGCUUGUUGGUGGGGUAAUGGCCUACCAAGGCGGCGACGGGUAGCCGGCCUGAGAGGGUGGACGGCGACAGUGAGACUGAGAUACGGCCCAGACUCCUACGGGAGGCAGCGGUGGGGAAUAUUGCACAAUGGGCGGAAGCCUGAUGCAGCGAGGCCGCGUGGGGGAUGACGGACUUCGGGUAGUAAACUCCUUUCGACCGCGAGGAAGCCACCUGGUUGGAAGGGUGGUGACGGUAGUGGUAGAAGAAGCACCGGCUAACUACGUG